AAUAUUGGACAAUGGGCGCAAGCCUGAUCCAGCCAUGCCGCGUGAGUGAUGAAAGCCUUAGGGUUNUCAAGCUCUUUCACCGGUGANGAUAAUGACGGUAACCGGAGAAGAAGCCCCGGCUAUCUUCGUGCCAGCAGCCGCGGUAAUACGAAGGGGGCUAGCGUUGUUCGGAAUUACUGGGCGUAAAGCGCACGUAGGCGGAUUAUUAAGGCAGGGGAGAAAUCCCGCAGCUCAGCGGCGGAAAUGCCUUUAAAACUGGUAAACUAGGGACCGAGAGAGGUAAGUGGAACUCCUAGUGUAGAGGUGGAAUUCGUAGAUAUUAGGAAGAACACCAGUGGCGAAGGCGGCUUACUGGCUCGGAACUGACGCUGAGGUGCGAAAGCGUGGGGAGCAAAC
rnacentral:rRNA from 1 species